rnacentral:lncRNA from 1 species
UCGUGAUGGUUCAACCUAUCAAUCAAAUCCAUGACGUUCCCUACGCAUGCCCAACCGAGAAAAUCAGCCCGAGAAAACAUGACAACCAACGAUCGCACAAAUCAGCCCAAUAAAACAUGCCAGCUCAUCCCACAACCACCGGCCCAAAAAUUCAAAUCGAGUCAAACCCACGAUCAAGGUCCAUCGACCCCGCGGGCAGCUCCAGCGACCUAGCCAACGCACGUCGCCAGCCCGAGCGCACGUCGCCAGUAGAAAAACAACAGUUUAUUCUUCCGGCAAGUUAGCCAUCCGGUCACAUCGUUCUCGCAUCAGGUGGAGCCUCUCAUGCAAUCAACCUAAAACAGCACUGCUCGCCAGCUGUUGCUCACAAAACAGCACUGCUCGCCGGCUGUUGCUGCAUCAGGUUUGUUCUUUCCGGCUUCGUUCUCGCACCAGGUGGAGCCUCUGAUGCAAUCAACGUGAAUCGCCUACGUUGCUCACAAAACAGCGCUGCUCGUCGGCUGUUGUUGCAUCCUCCUGGCGUCAUCUUCACAGUUCUUCACCUGCCGUCUUCUGCCUCUUAUGUGGCAAACGGCGGAGAAUCGCCUUUGUGAGCUCAUCAUGCCCUAGGUUUUCCAUCCUGAACUGUUUCCUGCAAAAAAAAAAAAAAAUCAUCAUGUCUUAGCAAAGUAGCUAUAGAAUAAAGAAACACCCUAAACUGAAUAUGUGGCAGCUCACCCAAUUUCAUAUUACUUACACAUGUUCCAGUGCAAUCCAGUUAUAAAGUCUUAUCAUUUUCUUAUUGCAAAAGAAUGCAGUUUAGUGAAUAACAUAUUGGCGACAAAGAUGUCACAGAAAAGAGGGAAUCUACAUGAUAAAGGAAGAAAGAGGUAUGUGUAUGCCAAUCACAUAUUUGGACAUAAGGUAUACAGUAAUCUUUCACAACUUAUCCUACAUUAAUUCUUAUCAGUUGUUGAAUAUGAGAUGACAGCGAAGCGACAACCCACCAUUACCCACCGACCACUAUCUGUUUUUUUUCAUACGCGACCAAACGGACACUACUAACUACAGUGCUUCGUCUUCCAACGAUGAUGACAAUCUUCCCACGCAACUCCGUAUGAUGGUUCCCGUAGCUAGCAAUCUCACGGCCUUUCGGCCAGUGCAACAUGUCAAAUACCCAAGAGGUAUCACCCUUACCCACUGACAUAUUUUCCAUUAGCAUUUAUACAUUUCAUAACCAAAGUGGUCCAUAAAAUGGUUUUUCAGGAAAUCAUUCUCGUGAAGCCACCUACUAUGAUCAUUGUGCAUCACUUGGAGGAACACAUAGCAGCACUGGACAUGAUAUUGUUUCAUAUAUAGCGUUGAGGCUCAGCACCUCACAUACUGGUCCUGAACACCUUGCUUCAAGUGUAGUCAUUACAUCAGACAAAAAACAGAAAAGGCCAAACGAAAUAGGUUAACACCUAAACAGAAGGAGGAAAUCAAUGCACAUCGUAGAGCAGCUAGGAAAAAGCAGAUGAGGAGAGGAAUUCGUGACAAAGAGAAGCCUGGCAACAUAUGAUAUCAAAGGAGAAGGAACAGAGUAGCGCCCUUAGAAGGGCGGCCUACCAAAAUGUGUCAGUCGAGGACAAGCAAGACAAGAAUAGUUGUGGAAGGGUGGCCUACCAAAAUAUAUCGGUCGAGGACAAGCAAGAUAGGAAUAGCUGCAGAAGGGCGGCCUACCAGUCGGUCGAGGACAAGCAAGAUAGGAACAGUUGUAGAAGGGCAGACUACCAAAAUAUGCUAGUCGAGGACAAGCAAGAUAGGAACAGCUGAAGAAGCCAAAAAGGGCCGCCUACCAGAAGAUGACUGACGACAAUGAGCAAGAGACAAACUCCCGCCGAAGAACACGUGUGGAAAACAUGUCACCCGAGGAGAAGCAGAAUAUGCUAGCUCAGCGAAAGGCAAAACUCACACCUAGACACAACACCCCUUGCAUUGAAUACGUCACAAUGCCGCGACCAGAUGCAGCUACCUUAGCUGCCCCCAACCUGAUGUUGACCAAUCAUGCAUUCGUAGACGAAGAAACCGCUGCUUCAUCUCAUGCCCCCCGGUCGGCAAGUAAGGUUGGUUACAAUUUGGCAUCACACAGUAAUCCCCCCAUCUUUACUCUACUUGGUAUGUCCAUCUAUGUUCAACAAGUAUUUACUGGAUCACUAAUGGUGCGGGCGAGUACCUUAGUCGUACCCUGGGCGACGAUGAUCAACAAGACGACCACAUAAAUGCGUCGCGCCAAAGCAAUGAUCAGCGAAUAUACAAUAACCAGAAUCAAGCCCAUGAGAAGAGGGGUGAGACUAGAGCACGUCGUAGGGCUUAGAAGCGAGCUCACAAAUAAGGUAUGGCGGUAAAGAAGAUUCAAGGGAAUGUCGUAAAAUGAAGAGCGCGCAGGAAGAGCAUACCAAAAGGUGAGAGGUCAGCAUUGCUAGAUCGUCGUAAUGCAAGCUUUGAAGCUAAACCGAGGACUCCCCGCCAAGCGGCAAGUACCUUAGAUACGAACAAAGGAGCAACAAACUCAUAUUCACCACCCAGAGGAGCUGCUUCACUAGCUUCCUCCCCUUCAUCAAGCACGUCGUCUUACACCAUAGGGACCGAAGGUAACCCUUCCAUCUUUACACUUCACCAAGUGACCAGCCACACUAAACCAUUACUUACCGGCUCAACAAUAUUGCAGCUGAUAUGGAAGCACGGAUGAUGAGGUUAUGGUAGAGCACGGAUGCAGACUCUCGGCAUUUCCAGGAGAGCAUUUGGUUCUUUAGCGGUCACUUCUCCUUCACUACCCUUGGCGUCAGCCUAGACAACAACUACACAAACAUGAAGUCUGGGGUAUACACGUUUCGGGCACAUGGCACUAUUUGCCACAAAGUGCACUCGUUCAGUACAAUAGCUCAUCCUGGACAUGUGAAGUUGUACUUCUACGAUGAUGACCCAAACUUAAGACAUCGCAAGGAGGCCACCGGUAAAUUGGACCAACGUGUUGUCACCAAGUUAGUUGACAUCCUCAGGGGCAACCCCUACUCCCAAUAGUUUAGAAGUUUGGGUGCCCACAAGGAAAACCUCGAGGAGUAGCGUAUAGACCUCAACAUUGACAACAAGCUAGAUCAACAGAGAUAUAAUAGACCGGUGUCAUACGAGGCAGUUGUGAUUUGGGUAGAGGGAAGCGAUCUAGAAAACAGGUUCAACCCCAGCAUUGCACUCUAUGGGGACAACAACGAGAAGCAUAGUAUACAUCCAACAGAUUGCUGCUAUGACCCGCUCUUGUAUCCCCUCUUUUUCCCAAGGGGUGAUCUUUGUUGGCAUCCAAAUAUCCCUAAGAACAAUGUCCCUUGCAAGCUUGCACAGCAACCAAGAGGGAACCACUAUAAUGAUUCAGGUUCGCCUAUUUGGUACAGUUAUAUGCAAUAAAAAAAUUGUCUAUCCGUUCCCAAAUGGUACCUAACCUUCUUAUUUCACGUCUUUCCGAAGAAGGGAAGGGCCGGUUGUGUGUCUCUGUGAGAGACUACUACUGUUACCGACUACAUACGCGCACUGCGGUAUUCAAACCCAUACUUCAUAGAGCAUGCAUGUUCCUGCAGUGGGGUGUGGACAUGCUCAUCAAGAUUGAGGGUUGUACGCUGAACUGGAUCAGGGACCACCAAUCACAGAUACGUGCCAAUCUAUAUCAAGGCGUUAUGAAUAGCAUCGCAGUUGGGGAGGUGCGAGCGAGCGCCGUUGGCAAGAGGAUGGUGCUUUCAGGGACGCAUCAAGGGGAGCAACCAAGACAUGCAGCGAAGGCAUAUGGACACCAUGGCGCUGGUGCAGACGUAUGGGAAGCCUACCAUCUUUUUGACUAUAUAUGACAUGCAAUCCUAGCUGGGAGGAGAUACUGAAUGAGCUGCUUCCUGGCCAGACAUCCCAGGACCGACCAGAUCUUGUCGCACGUGUGUUCAAGGCCAAGUUGGAGACCAUGAAAGAGAUGUUGUUCAAGAAGCACAUCAUGGGUGUUGUGGCAGCCCAUAUGCAUGUUGUCGAGUUCUAGAAGAGGGGUCUUCCAAAUGCGUACUUCCCGUGAAUCAUGAAUAGAGAUUAUAAGCUUGUGGUGCCAAAGUAGUAUGACCCCGUCAUAUCGUUAGAGCUCCCGGACAAGCAUAAGUAUCCAUAGCUCUAUGACAUGGUCGUGAAGCAUAUGAUGCACGGCCCAUGCGGUCAUCUAAAUCCCAAAAAUAUGUGCAUGCAAGAAUUGAAGUGCAAGAGCAAGUACCCACGACCAUUCAACCAGAAUACCUUACAGGGGAAGGAUUCAUACCCUGUUUAUCGACAGCGGGACGAUGGUCGUCGGGCUGAGGUCUGCCGUCAGAUUAUGGAUAACAGAUGGAUGGUACCUUACAACCCUUAUAUGUGGUGGAUGUUCAACUGCCACAUAAAUGUUGAGGUGUGCUCCAGCAUCAAGGUCGUCAAAUAGCUUUACUAAUACGUAUACAAGGGCCAUGAUUGAGCUUCAAUCAGCAUCGACCAGCCUGACAGGAAACGGGUUGUAGACGAGAUUAAAAGGUACAUCGAUGUGAGAUGGGUUACUUCAUCGGAGGCGAUGUGGAGGAUAUUCGGCUUCAACCUUUCUGAGAGUUCCCUGUUGGUCCUAUAGUUGCCGCUUCAUCUCCCUAAUAUGCAUAGUGUCACGUUCAAAGCGGGAGAGGACCUGAACGAUGUCCUCGUCCGUGAUAAUGCAUCUAAGUAAAUGUUGACAGAGUAUUUCCUCGCUAAUCAGCAGCACGUGUGAACUCGAGAUAUCUUGUACGAGGACUUCCCGGGAAGUUUCGAAUGGCAGAGAGCAAAGUAUUGGAGACCGAGACAAAAGAAACACUAACUAGGUCGAAUUGUGUGUCAGCCCAUCCAGCUGAGGGGAAGCGGUACUUUCUACGAGUGCUACUCAACCAUGUAACAGGCAAGACAUCCUUUGGGGACCUAGGGAUCAUGGAUGGUGUGCUAUGUGAUAUCUUCCCUGAGGCUGCCAAGAGAUAAGGCCUCAUCGAGGCUGACAACACACUUGACGAGUGUCUUCUAGAGUCAACAGAGUUUGCGACGCAAGCCUCACUCGGGAGGCUCUUUGCAACAAUCUUGGUACUCUGGGAGCCAGGUGACGUGUGUUGUCUAUGUGAUAGGCACCUAGAGGUGAUGUUUGAUGACUACCAUCGAUCACACAUGUGCUCAAAGGCAGUGCAGCAGAUGGUGUUUCUAGACAUCAGGGGCAUGCUACGGUCAAUGGGCAAAGACAUGGCAUUGUUCCCUCUUCCAGACAUUGACAGGACCUAUGACACUACUCGAUGCGAGGCAAGAGAAGUCAUAGAGGAGUCCAACAUCGAGGUUGACACGAUGGACGCUGCUAUAGCGUCCUCGCUAAAUCCUGAGCAGAGGCUCGCAUACGAUAAGAUCCUGGCAGCAGUACAUGCCGGUGAUGGGGGUGUAUUCUUUGUUGAUGGCCAGGGAGGCACCGGGAAGACCUUUCUAUACAUGGCAGUGCUCGCAAAGGUUCGAGGGGAGGGCAAGAGCGCGGUAGCAAUAGCGACGUCGAGCGUCGCGGCUUUCAUCAUGCGUGGAGGCAGGACGACCCACUCGAGGUUCAAGAUCCCACUCGGCAUUGAAGAUGAGGCAUCGUGCAGCUUCACCAAGCAAAGUGGGACGGCCAAGCUUGUGCAUGUUUUCCCUCAUCCUACGGACGAGAUCACCAUGACGAAGCAGAAAGCUAUUGAGGCAUUGGACAAUAGCAUGUGGGACAUCGUGAGGCGACGACACCGACCAUUCAGGGGGAAAACUGUCGUGUUCUGUGGGGACUUCAAGCAGGUGCUUCCGGUUGUCACGAAGGCGUCACGGGGUCAAAAAAUCGAUGCGACCAUGCGGAGUUCAUACCUUUGGAAGGGUAUGCGCCAGCUAAGGCUCGUCAUGAACAUGAGAGCGCAUAACGUCCCAUGGUUCGUAGAUUACUUGCUAAGGGUAGGCAUCGGCAUCGAAGAAACUGAUGAGGAAGGCAACAUAAGGCUCCCUGAAGAUAUUUGUGUGCCGCCAACAGGAAACGGUGUUGACCUAGAGAAGGUAAUCGACCAUGUAUUUCCUGGUCUAGACCACAACAUGGCUGAUCGAAAUUACAUGACAUCUCGAGUGAUCCUCUCCACCAAGAAUGACAACGUCGAUAAGAUAAACACGCGCAUGAAGAGCGCUUCUAGGUCGAGGAGAAGAUCUACCACAAUUUUGAUAGUGCAGAGGAUAAUCCAUGCAGCUACUAUGCCCGUGAGUUCCUCAACAACCUAACUCUCAACGGGCUGCCUCCACAUGCACUCAAACUAAAGAUAAAUUGCCACAUUAUACUAUUGAGAAACAUUGAUCCAACUAAUGCAUUGUGUAACGGCACAAGGCUUGUGCUUCGGGGUUUCCAAAGGAACGCCAUCGACGCAAAAUCAUUCUAGGACAUCAUGCUAGUAGGAGGGUGUUCCUUCCUGAGAUACCUCUGUGUCCAUCCGAUGAUAAUAUAUAUCCUUUCAAGUUCAAGAGGAAGGAGUUCCCUAUUAGGCUUAGAUUUGCCAUGACGAUCAACAAGGCACAAGGACAGACCAUACCGAUUGUUGGGGUGUACCUAAUGGACCCGAUUUUCUCUCACGGUCAGCUCUAGGUUGCAUUGUCUAGAGCCACCGCAAAGAGGAACGCUAAGAUUCUCGCCAUCAAGGACGACGAUGUGGGUAAAGGCUAGGGUAAGGGCAAGGAACAAAGCAAGAAUUCAAAGAAGCGAAAAAGAACUGAGUCCUUAUUAAGGACCGUGAAGAACAUAGUCUACAAGGAAGUCCUAAGCACAUAAAGUCACUGGAUCAAAUUAUAGCAACUCAGGGUAAAGUAUGUUCAAUUCUGCACUACAACCACAUAACUAUUGUAAAUCUUAAUGCACACUAAACUGUGUUUUUUGAUGUGUAGUACUCGAGGGAGCAUUGUCAAUCUUUAGGAACCAUGUGUAUUCCUUCCGCCACAUCUGCCCAUCCUAUACUUGGUCAAAGUUGGACAUGUUUAAGCUGGAAAUAACAAGAGACCACGUGAAAAUUCAAAUAAAUGCAUGAGGAAGAUGCAUGGACAGUGACUUGGUAAAUAAGAACAAAAAUACUAAGGUGUAGUAUUUCUUUCUAAGGCAUAUGCUUUUUAAUAUGGUAAAAACCUGAGGCAUCUAAUAUCAUAUAUAUAGCAAUAAAAAAAUUGACUACGAGCUGAGUUUGCCAUAAGUGAGCUCCUCAUGUCACUACUAUCUCUACUAUCAAAAGAUGACACUCAAGUCAAUAGAUACAAAGGAACAUAAUAUGUUCAUCUGCUUUUUUCCGUAGCUCUGUGCUAAGAUUUAGCACGCAGGUGUGUCCUUCAAUUUUAACUCAUUCUUGAACAUCAAUUUCAGGCCUCAAAAUUCAUUGCUGAAGGUGAUUCCAAAGUGCCAUCUACAUGAUUAGAAACAUCAACCCUUAAUCUAUUCAGCAAUAGUGUUCUAGUGACUGGUGAAUGAGUCAUAUUAGAACCUAAAUACAAUCACCGCUAACCUACAAAAUGGCAAGGAGAUCAGAAUGGAAGCUCUGGCAAAUUACCAUUAUAGAGCGUUCUACUGAGCUUAUUUGCCAAAAGAUGCAGACCUAGCUUUGUAGUCGUUUUUUACAUUUGGUACAUCACUAUGAUUGUCACCAUUGGAGAGUACUGACUUUUAUGUCAGGUUACCUUGCUUCAAUCUGUAUGAUUAUCCUGAUGUGUUUUUCUCUGUUGAAAUGCAUUGUGCGUGUGUACCCUUGUUAUCUCCUGGCCAUUAUCCUGCCUUUGCCUGAUUGAAGCAUACGUGAUUUGCUUGAUCCGAUCGAUACUCACCCAUGCCUUUUGGAUUAGGAACGACUAAAAUGGUUUAUAGAAUAACUUCAACGCCACUUUACCUGUUCUAUUAAAAUCAAGUUUUAAUGAUUAUGUCCCUAAAACAACUAUACGUUUAUUACACUAACUACUUUCAGUUGGUUAGCCCUUUAAGUGAGUUUAUGGGAAAUGGAUGUGGCAAAAACUCCGAAUCCAAACAACAUACUCCUAACUGCAUAUCGAUACUACUCAUCUAGCUAGCCUUCAAACCAUGUAUGUAUAAGAGAGACUCAAUCUAUCAUCAAUAUGUUUGCUUACCUCCAGCGGCGAUUCCUCUAGGUGGGCUUCAAUAGGCUGAAGCUUACUCUUCAAAACUCCUAUUUCAGCUAGAUAUACUACUUGACAAUCAUACCAAGGUGUUUACCAUGUAAAUUGCAAUGCAUUUGCUAAUUAAGCUUGGAAACUUGAUGUUUUAAGCCUACGUACCCUUCAGUUCCAUGCUAAAUUCGCCACUGCUUACCUCCAAGAUCGAACUUCACCAGCGGUGCCAAUCCAAUAGAGCUACCAAUGAUGGACGCGGAGGGAGAGAGGAGAGCCGUCCGUGACAAGGUAAGAUUCGUUCCUGGUCGAUCUCCGCCCAACCGGGCAAGCACGGUUUGCUGCAGGGUCUCCUCGCAUUGCACGGCUUGCGUUAGUCGCCAGGCGUUGCGAGCAGAAGAUUACGACCGGCCUGGCGCCACGCGGCAGGGGGCGGCGGGGCGCGGGGCAAAGGGCGCCGCGCGGUGGAUGUCGCCGAUUGUGCUCGUCCGUUAGAGCGCUGCCCCCCGGAUCUCGCCGGACAGCAUGGAGUGGUGCGGGUGGGUGUGGGAGGCUCGCGACGACACAGCCACGCGGUAGGGAUGGUACGGAGGCGGGGGUUGCGAAGUUCGUCCGGGAUGGGUUACUCGCAGCAUCGCACGGUGUGCGGAUGCGCGCCGGCGGCAACACAAAGGAGCUGGAUGAGUGGCUAGCACAGGGAAGGGGGCGGAAUGAGUGAUGAGGAGAAAGUGAGACCGGACCUCUGUAAAAGGGAUGAUUGGCUGUGAACGAGCAGACCAACUUUACGUGAUUUUUUUCAUGAAAAAAGGAACAUACAAGGGUGUGG